AUACGGAGGAUCCGAGCGUUAUCCGGAUUUAUUGGGUUUAAAGGGUGCGUAGGCGGCCUUUUAAGUCAGCGGUGAAAGUCUGUGGCUCAACCAUAGAAUUGCCGUUGAAACUGGGGGGCUUGAGUAUGUUUGGGGCAGGCGGAAUGCGUGGUGUAGUGGUGAAAUGCUUAGAUAUAACGCAGAACCCCGAUCGCGAAGGCAGCCUGCCAAGCCAUGACUGACGCUGAUGCACGAAAGCGUGGGGAUCGAACAGGAUUAGAUACCCUGGUAGUCCACGCAGUAAACGAUGAUCACUAGCUGUUUGCGAUACACAGUAAGCGGCACAGCGAAAGCGUUAAGUGAUCCACCUGGGGAGUACGCCGGCAACGGUGAAACUCAAAUGAAUUGACGGGG
rnacentral:rRNA from 1 species